UACGUAGGGGGCAAGCGUUGUCCGGAAUCAUUGGGCGUAAAGAGCGUGUAGGCGGUCCGGUAAGUCGGCUGUGAAAGUUCAGGGCUCAACCCUGGGAUGCCGGUCGAUACUGCCGGACUAGAGUUCGGUAGAGGCGAGUGGAAUUCCCGGUGUAGCGGUGAAAUGCGCAGAGUAUCGGGAGGAACACCAGUAGCGAAGGCGGCUCGCUGGGCCACACCUGACGCUGAGACGCGAAAGCUAGGGGAGCGAACGAGG
rnacentral:rRNA from 1 species